rnacentral:rRNA from 1 species
GACGAACGCUGGCGGCGUGCUUAACACAUGCAAGUCGAACGGAAAGGCCCUGCUUUUGUGGGGUGCUCGAGUGGCGAACGGGUGAGUAACACGUGAGUAACCUGCCCUUGACUUUGGGAUAACUUCAGGAAACUGGGGCUAAUACCGGAUAGGAGCUCCUGCUGCAUUGUGGGGGUUGGAAAGUUUCGGCGGUUGGGUAUGGACUCGCGGCUUAUCAGCUUGUUGGUGGGGUAGUGGCUUACCAAGGCUUUGACGGGUAGCCGGCCUGAGAGGGUGACCGGCCACAUUGGGACUGAGAUACGGCCCAGGCUCCUACGGGAGGCAGCAGUGGGGAAUAUUGCACAAUGGGCGGAAGCCUGAUGCAGCAACGCCGCGUGCGGGAUGACGGCCUUCGGGUUGUAAACCGCUUUCGCCUGUGACGAAGCGUGAGUGACGGUAAUGGGUAAAGAAGCACCGGCUAACUACGUG